GAUGAAGAACGCAGCAAAAUGCGAUACUUGGUGUGAAUUGCAGAAUCCCGUGAACCAUCGAGUUUUUGAACGCAAGUUGCGCCCGAAGCCUUUUGGCCGAGGGCACGUCUGCCUGGGCGUCACGCAUCGCGUCGCCCCCCACAAUUCUCCGUAAAGGGAACAUGUGUUUUGGGGGCGGAUAUUGGUCUCCCGUGCUCAUGGCGUGGUUGGCCGAAAUAGGAGUCCUUUCGAUGGACGCACGAACUAGUGGUGGUCGUAAAAACCCUCGUCUUUUGUUUCGUGCUGUUGGUCGCAAGGUAAACUCUUUAAAAACCCCAAUGUGUCGUCUCUUGACGACGCUUCGACCGCGACCCCAGGUCAGGCGGGACUACCCGCUGAGUUUAAGAAUAUCAAUAAGCGGAGGA
rnacentral:misc_RNA from 1 species